GAGGAGCGAGGGACCCAAAAGGGGAAUGGUGGAGCCCAACCGCGACUGCUUGCUUCACAGUUGAAGGGCUGCCCCUUCCUUUCCCUCUUGGAGACCUCUGUCCUGGUGCCGCUGGUGCAGCUUCGGUUACAGUUGGAUCUGUCCAGUCCUUUACCCUGCCUGCAUGCACACAUGGUCUCAGGGAGUGAAUUCCUUGGGCGGCUGCCAUGUCUGUGCUGGGACUCUGGCAAUAGCCAGAAAGGCAGGAGGAGAACUAGGGGUGGGAGAGGAUUGGGGUUCCGCUUCUUUCUUCUGCACCAGAUAUCAGGACCUGGGCACCACAACGGAGGCCAACUAGCAGCAGGUGGGAGUUGAUGCCAAGUCCCAGGAUAUUGGACUAGAGCUGUGUUAACACCUCCUGCUGAGGUUGAGGCCUGGCAGGGUGAAAGGAGGGGUGGCCCAGCUAUGAACCCAAAGUUGGAGGCUCCAGGGUGUGCUUGAGGCCCCUACAUUCUGACACCCUCAGGCACCAGCGUUUUCAAUGGGAGGAGGAUUUCUCUUUUCCUCUUUUUGCAGUGGCAUUUGUAAUUCUAAGAGAGCUUUUGUUUCAUGAUGGAUCUUUCAAGGAUCUUGUAUAAAGGCCCGGCACACAAGUCCCUGGGCUUAGCGUGAGUGGCCCCAUGGGUGGAUGUCCCCAAGAUACGUCCGACAAUCUAUUGCUUAACUCUGCCCCCGCCGCACGAAAGAGGCAUCCACAGUUCACCAGUUGCCAGAGAGAGCUGCCACUCGCUCUCCUUCUCUUACCCUGCCAGCCACCAGGGUCAUGGAACACUUGAGAGAAUAAGAACAAAAUAAAAAAAGAGAGCAAGACACCCCAGGAAACUGAAUGAAACUUGAGCAGCCUAACAUUUAAAUGUGGGACUUGGCUCUGGCUUAGUGUCAACAUGGGAAACAACAGGAGCUUCUGAACUGAGAGAAGAGGAGAGAGGGAAGGCAGUCCCAGUGCGGCACAGAGGAAGGCUCGCACGGGGAGCCACAGUGACUUUGCUAGCACAGACUGACUGCUUCCUAUGUACUAGAGUGGGUUACAUGCUUUAUUUAAUCCUUGUCUUUCAAUCCUUGAGGAAUUCUGGAGCCAGACUGCCUGGGUUUGAAUGCUGGUUCCAUCACUUACUUCCUAUGGACCGUAGACAACUGUCUUAAAUACCUGAUGAUUCAGUUUCUUCAAUUGUAAAAUGGAGAUGAUAAUGGUACCCAACUCACAGGGUUGUUCCAAAGAUUGACUGAGCCCGUGUUUGUAAGCCACGUGAAGACACAGGGACCUUCAGGAAGAAUGACAGAACAAAAGGUGAUGAUGGAGACAGAGACUGGAGUGAGGCAGCUGCAAGCCAAGGAAUUCUGAAGGUGGCCAGCAACCACCAGAACCUAGGGAGAGGCGAGGUGGCCAUUCGUUCCUAGAGUCUUCAGAAGGCACGUGGCCCUGCAGGCAGCUGGAUUUUGGACAUCUAGUCUCUAGGCCUGUAAGAUAAUAAAUUCCUGUUAUUUGAAG
rnacentral:lncRNA from 10 species